AGAAAAAGCCAAACCUGGCAUAAGUCAGGGGCGGAAAGCCUCGGGUCUCAAUGAGAUAGCCGGGCUGCC
rnacentral:ncRNA from 1 species